UAGAGUUUGAUCCUGGCUCAGGAUGAACGCUAGCUACAGGCUUAACACAUGCAAGUCGAGGGGCAGCGGGAUUGAAGCUUGCUUCAAUUGCCGGCGACCGGCGCACGGGUGAGUAACGCGUAUCCAACCUUCCGUACACUCAGGGAUAGCCUUUCGAAAGAAAGAUUAAUACCUGAUGGUAUGAUGAGAUUGCAUGAUAGCAUCAUUAAAGAUUUAUCGGUGUACGAUGGGGAUGCGUUCCAUUAGGUAGUAGGCGGGGUAACGGCCCACCUAGCCAACGAUGGAUAGGGGUUCUGAGAGGAAGGUCCCCCACAUUGGAACUGAGACACGGUCCAAACUCCUACGGGAGGCAGCAGUGAGGAAUAUUGGUCAAUGGACGAGAGUCUGAACCAGCCAAGUAGCGUGAAGGAUGAAGGUCCUACGGAUUGUAAACUUCUUUUAUAAGGGAAUAAACCCUCCCACGUGUGGGAGCUUGUAUGUACCUUAUGAAUAAGCAUCGGCUAACUCCGUGCCAGCAGCCGCGGUAAUACGGAGGAUGCGAGCGUUAUCCGGAUUUAUUGGGUUUAAAGGGAGCGCAGACGGGUCGUUAAGUCAGCUGUGAAAGUUUGGGGCUCAACCUUAAAAUUGCAGUUGAUACUGGCGUCCUUGAGUGCGGUUGAGGUGUGCGGAAUUCGUGGUGUAGCGGUGAAAUGCUUAGAUAUCACGAAGAACUCCGAUUGCGAAGGCAGCACACUAAUCCGUAACUGACGUUCAUGCUCGAAAGUGUGGGUAUCAAACAGGAUUAGAUACCCUGGUAGUCCACGCGGUAAACGAUGGAUACUCGCUGUUGGCGAUAUACUGUCAGCGGCUUAGCGAAAGCGUUAAGUAUCCCACCUGGGGAGUACGCCGGCAACGGUGAA
rnacentral:rRNA from 1 species